rnacentral:rRNA from 1 species
UGGAGACCUCCUGGAGAGGGUCAAGUUAAGAUUCAUGUUGACGGCGCACUACCCAGAAACAGGCAGAAGGGCGCUUCUUCGGCUGUCUGUAGGGACUAAAACGGGGUGUUCUUGGGCUCGUCUGCUAUGGUUUUACCGGACAUCGCAGAUCCUGCUACUCUCGAAGCCCUUGCGUGUCGGGAGGCCCUAUCCCUUGCUUUAGAUCUAGCGGUGGACAGACUGAUAAUCAUAUGCGACUCCAAGGCAGUGGUGUCGGACAUUCAGAGAGGCACCGAAGGAAGAUAUUCUGUAAUCAUCAAAGAGAUCAUUGCUAGGGCAAAAUAG